rnacentral:rRNA from 1 species
CGGUUGAUCCUGCCGGAGGCUACCGCUAUUGGAGUUCGAUUAAGCCAUGCGAGUCGCGAGUCUUAGGGACUCGGCGUACCGCUCAGUAACACGUGGGUAACCUGCCCUAUGCUGGGAGAUAACCUCGGGAAACUGAGAAUAAUACCCCAUAGUUCACUACGCCUGGAACGGUGAGUGGAUGAAAGCUCCGGCGGCAUAGGAUGGGCCUGCGGCGUAUCAGGUUGUAGGGGGUGUAACGUACCCUCUAGCCCUCUACGCGUACGGGUGUUGGGAGACAUAGCCCGGAGAUGGAUUCUGAGACACGAAUCCAGACCCUACGGGGUGCAGCAGGCGCGAAAACUUGACAAUGCGAGAAAUCGUGAUCAGGGAACUCCAAGUGGCUGGGGUAAGACCCAGUCUUUUCUUGACUCUUCAAAGGUCUUGGAAUAAGGGGUGGGUAAGGACGGUGCCAGCCGCCGCGGUAAUACCGGCGCCUCAAGUGGUAGUCGCUUUUAUUGGGCCUAAAACGUCCGUAGCCGGUCUGAUACAUUCGUGGGUAAAUCAACUAGCUCAACUAGUUGAAUUCUGCGAGGACGGUCAGACUUGGGACCGGGAGAGGUGUGGGGUACGCUCAGGGUAGGGGUAAAAUCCUGUCAUCCUAAGCGGACCACCUGUUGCGAAGGCGCCACACUAGAACGGAUCCGACGGUCAGGGACGAAGCCUAGGGGCACGAACCGGAUUAGAUACCCGGGUAGUCCUANGUGUAAACGCUGUGGACUUGAUGUU